CGUCUUUAUCGGCUCCGGCCUGGAGAAGGGAACGGGCGGCCCGGGAGUUGUUCACGGCGGCGGCCCAGUGCAACGCGGUUUUUCCUAGGGGGACGACGUAGGAGAACUACAUCUAUCCAGAUCCAUACCCCAUUUAUCCCUGGCUCCCACAUCUGCUCGGGCUGCAAUCAGUUCUUCAACCAGGUCUUCAACAGCCAGCCUGGCGGCCAACAUCAGGGCUGUGGUCCCAUCCUCUGUCCGUGCAUCCACGGCAGUCUGUCUGCUUCGGAGUAAGAGCUGGGGGGCGCCAGAGAGGGCCAGUGACCCCUGGUUUAUCUGGACUCACACUGCUGACCGCCUCCCAAUCCAUAUUCGGCCACCUGUUCUUGUUUCUCUCUCAGUCCCCAAUCCCAUAUUACCUUCCUCUUUGCCAAAGCCUAUAGGAUGCUUUUGCCCAGGUUUUCUUGCAAGUUAGCCCCGUUUCCUUUAGUAACCCCAGUGCACACUGACCUGGCAAACCUCGCGAGCAUCAGCAGCCACAGCAGUGUGAAGGGGGGUGCGCCCUGCCCGAUCUGGCUGGUUGGGGUUGGCUCCCGCUUCAAGAAGGCGGCGGGCAGCGGUUGGCCGGGAGAAUCGGGCAGCCAGGUGCAGGGGGGUCUCCCCAGUGCCCACGGUGUGAACCUGGGGACAAGCCCCGCCA